AAAAGACUCAUAUGUGCCCCAGAAACAGUCGCACACAUAAGUAGACAAAUCUCAAAUGUACCAUUGCAGUGUUUAUUACAUAGCGGAACAAUAAUAAAUCACAUAGUCUCAUACAAAGAUCAUAGCAUAAAGUAAACAACGCUCUCGACGGAAGCUCCACACAGGGACACUGUUGACUGGUUGACUUCAAACCUAGUACUCAUAGCGAUAAUCC
rnacentral:lncRNA from 1 species